GACGAACGCUGGCGGCGUGCCUAAUACAUGCAAGUCGAGCGAACUUGCGGGAGCUUGCUCCCAAAAGUUAGCGGCGGACGGGUGAGUAACACGUGGGCAACCUGCCUAUAAGACUGGGAUAACUUCGGGAAACCGGAGCUAAUACCGGAUAAUUCUUUUCUACACAUGUAGAAAAGCUGAAAGACGGUUUACGCUGUCACUUAUAGAUGGGCCCGCGGCGCAUUAGCUAGUUGGUGAGGUAACGGCUCACCAAGGCCACGAUGCGUAGCCGACCUGAGAGGGUGAUCGGCCACACUGGGGCUGAGACACGGCCCAGACUCCUACGGGAGGCAGCAGUAAGGAAUCUUCCGCAAUGGACGAAAGUCUGACGGAGCAACGCCGCGUGAGUGAUGAAGGUUUUCGGAUCGUAAAACUCUGUUGUUAGGGAAGAACAAGUACGAGAGUAACUGCUCGUAUCUUGACGGUACCUAACCAGAAAGCCACGGCUAACUACGUGCCAGCCGCCGCAGUAA
rnacentral:rRNA from 1 species